rnacentral:rRNA from 1 species
GACGAACGCUGGCGGCGUGCCUAAUACAUGCAAGUAGAACGCUGAAGAGAGGAGCUUGCUCUUCUUGGAUGAGUUGCGAACGGGUGAGUAACGCGUAGGUAACCUGCCUUGUAGCGGGGGAUAACUAUUGGAAACGAUAGCUAAUACCGCAUAACAAUGGAUGACACAUGUCAUUUAUUUGAAAGGGGCAAUUGCUCCACUACAAGAUGGACCUGCGUUGUAUUAGCUAGUAGGUGAGGUAAGGGCUCACCUAGGCGACGAUACAUAGCCGACCUGAGAGGGUGAUCGGCCACACUGGGACUGAGACACGGCCCAGACUCCUACGGGAGGCAGCAGUAGGGAAUCUUCGGCAAUGGGGGCAACCCUGACCGAGCAACGCCGCGUGAGUGAAGAAGGUUUUCGGAUCGUAAAGCUCUGUUGUAAGUCAAGAACGGGUGUGAGAGUGGAAAGUUCACACUGUGACGGUAGCUUACCAGAAAGGGACGGCUAACUACGUG